CUAAGCAAUCACUAACUUGCUUUCUGUCUCUAAAGAUUUGCCUAUUCUGGACAUUUCAUAUAAAAGGAAUCAUACAAUAUGUGGCCUUUUGUGUCUGGCUUCUUUCACUCAGCAUAAUGCUUUCAGGGUUCAUCCACAUUGCAACACAAGCCAGGAAUGCA